rnacentral:rRNA from 1 species
CUACGGGGGGCAGCAGUGAGGAAUAUUGCACAAUGGGGGGAACCCUGAUGCAGCAACGCCGCGUGGAGGAUGACGCAUUUCGGUGUGUAAACUCCUUUUAUAUGUCAAGAAAAUGACGGUAGCAUAUGAAUAAGCGCCGGCUAACUCCGUGCCAGCAGCCGCGGUAAUACGGAGGGCGCAAGCGUUACUCGGAGUCACUGGGCGUAAAGGACGCGUAGGCGGGUUGAAAAGUCAGGUGUGAAAGCCUACAGCUUAACUGUAGAACUGCACUUGAAACUCUCAACCUAGAGUAUGGGAGGGGCAGAUGGAAUUAGUGGUGUAGGGGUAAAAUCCGUAGAUAUCACUAGGAAUACCUAAAGCGAAGGCGAUCUGCUGGAACAUUACUGACGCUAAGGCGUGAAAGCGUGGGGAGCAAACAGGAUUAGAUACCCCAGUAGUC